CUGGGGCCCAGCCUGCCCCAAAUCCGCCCCAAAUCCCCUCAGAAUUGGCAGCGGAUUGGCUUUUGUGUCCCCAGAAUGAACUGGCACAAGGUGUCACCCUGCUCUUCUUGGGGUCCCAAAUCUGCGUCAAUUCAGCUCUUAAUCAGCCCCAAAUCUGCCCUUUCUGUCCCCAGAAUGAAGUGGCACAAUGUGUCCCCCUCUUUCGUUUUUGGGGUCCCAAAUCUGCCCCAAAUCUGCCCCAAAUCUGCAUCAAUUCAGCUCUAAAUCAGCCCCAAAUCUGCCCUUUUUGUCCCCAAAAUGAACUGGCACAAUGUGUCCUCCCUGCUCUCCUUUUGAGGUCCCCACUCUUUUUUUGGGGUCCCAAAUCUGCAUCAAUUCAGUUCUUAAUCAGCCCCAAAUCUGCCCCUUUUGUCCCCAAAAUGAAAUGGCACAACAUGUCCCUCUCCUUCUUUUUGGGGUCCCAAUUUCAGCCCCAAAUCUGCAUCAAUUCAGCCCCAAACCCACCCAAGUUCAGCUCUGAAUCUGCCCCAAAUCAGCCCCAAUUCAGUCCCAAAUCACCCCAAAAUCUGACCCAAAUCUACUCCAACUCAGCCCCAAAUCAGCAUCAGUUCAGUCCCAGUUCAUCCCAAAAUCUGCCCCAAAUCAACCCAAAUUUGCACUGAAUCAGCACUUUUUGUUCCCAAAAUAGAACAGCCCAACGUGUCCCCCCCUAUUCUGGGCUCGCCCCAUUUUUUGGGGUCUCCCCCAUUUUUGGAGCCCCCCCCCCCCCCCCCCCCCCCCCCCCCCCCCCCCCCCCCCCCCUGGGCUCGCCCCAGUUUUUGGGGUCUCCCCCGUUUUUGGAGGUCAUUUAGGGCACCCUGAGGGUGACACCAACACCCCAAAUUCAGGAUAUUGCCCAAAUCUGCCCCAAAUCUGCUCUUUCUUCCCCAAAAUGGGGCAGCUCAGUGCUCCUCACCCCCUUUUUUGGGGGUUUCCUCUUUUUUGGGGGUUCUGGGGGGGGGAAGGAAUUUCCUUCUACUGAAGUUUGAAAAAAAUACAAAAAUCCAACCCCCCCCCCCCCCCCCCCCCCCCCCCCCCCCCCCCCCCCCCCCCCCCCC
rnacentral:lncRNA from 12 species